UGCAGUUUCAGGAGGCAGUGUGUCUCUGGUGCAAGGCUCUUAUGAGUACUACCAUUAUCUACAAGAUGGAUUUAAUGAUUCGGGCUGGGGUUGUGCUUAUCAUUCUCUUCAAACGAUCAUUUCAUGGUUCAGACUCCAACACUAUACAUCUAUAGAUGUCCCAUUGCAUAGGGAAAUACAGCAGUCAUUGGUAGAGAUUGGCGAUAAGGAUCUUUCUUUCAUUCCUUCACGGAGUUCACGAAUG